UACAUAAACGCCUCGUGAAAACGGGAUUUUAAGGACAUCGACUGAGAUGAAUACCAUAUCUUGGUCAACAGAACAGAACAAAGGCUGCCCACAUGGGAUGUCUUGAUAAGCCAUCACUGGAACUUAGCAGGAACAGGAGUUCGGCAUCAGAGGAGACGCUGCAGGAGCCUCACAGAACAUCCACGGGCAAUGGGAGCUUCUCAUCACCACAUGCGUCCAAGGAAAUCACGACAGGCCUUGUUCACCACGUCAACAUGGCACUUCACAAGUAACAUGUGCCAAGAGGGACUACGGCUGAUGUUGCUAGGAUCCACUUACAAGGGGCUUCUUGUCAAGGAGCCUGGAAAUGAUGCUUCAUAUCUCUCUACAUUUUUAUUUCUUCUGUAGGACUCAGUAUGCCAUAGAUGUGAGUGUUGGACUCAGAAAACAAAACUCAUUUUCUCCCUCCACCAUCCAGGACACUUAGAAUAAUGGAAGAAUUGAAAGGAAUUCAAGUUCAUCUGUGUAUAAAUCUCC